UACAGAGGUGCUCAAGCGUUGUUCGGAUUCAUUGGGCGUAAAGGGUGCGUAGGCGGCGCGGUAAGUACGGUGUGAAAUCGUCGGGCUUAACUCCGAAACUGCAUUCGAUACUGCCGUGCUUGAGGACUGGAGAGGAGACUGGAAUUUACGGUGUAGCGGUGAAAUGCGUAGAUAUCGUAAGGAAGACCAGUGGCGAAGGCGGGUCUCUGGA
rnacentral:rRNA from 1 species